UGGGACCGCGGCAUAGGCGUGCGACGGAGUUCGGACGUGGCCGUCCUGAUCCGUGGACCAGGACAUUGACGAAAUAACCGAGCCUAGGAUCAGAUAAGAAGCUCAGAUCGUUAGCGAAAAGCUGAGCCGUUUUUCUCUCCCGACAAACAAGGAAGAAGGCGGUGGUGGCGGCGGUUCCUUCUGGGCCACAAGGAAAAAAGGGAGGAUGCUGGGAUGGAGUUACUUCUCGACGCCGUCGACAGGUUCCCACUGCUGUAGGAGUUCGCGGACAGCGUUGAGCAGCCAGAUGUGGCUCCUCUGGCGUUGAUGUGGCCAAGCGAGGCCGCCUGCGGUGGGACUGUGAACUCAAAGGGUGCUUCUGGAUGCAGCCAGCAGGUCAGCGAUGACGAGCUAAUCGGGAGGCAUGGUGGAGCUCGCUGCCGUGCGGAUGCAUCUCCGACUAGGUCGGCGCAGUCCACUGACAGAGUGAAUCCGGAAGUUCCUGGAUGGACAAAAAGAUUAUGGCUAAGGAGUGCGCCACCAGACAGGACACCAUGUCUGUCACGGAUGAGCGCGCUCGAGGAGUCGAUCCGCAAGUUUGGCGAGUACUGAGUUCAGAUUGUGUAUGAGCUUAUGGGUUUUAAAAUAUGACUGACUUACUUUCUGCAAUUCUUGGGAGAUUAGAUUCAGAAUAAGGUACGGUAAGAGCUGGCUAAACGUCGAGAGGACAAAGGUGUCAAAGUGAAUGCAAGAAAUCGUCUGCGGCUGCUCGGUAAACACUGAUUCAUGUAAUUAUUGUUUUGGAAGGUAAGCAGCAGCCAUGGGCGUCGGUGCUUCAAGUGUGUUUAAAUGAAUUAUACAGGGGAAACCAGAGGCGGAGAAUAGUAGGUCAUGCCGAUGUAAGUGUGCUGCAUUGAUAAGGCUGCUGCGUGUGUUCGACAACAAUUGGUACAUAACAGAGAAAGCAGAUGGCCCAUGACAAAAUAUAACAAAGGCUAUCUGGAAACAAUCUUUUUCAAGCUGGCUGGAAUUCUCGUUGAUGUCGCGCAAAAGGAACUCUUUUGCUGCACGCAAGUUGUGAACCCCCGUCUUGUUCAUUUCAACUGUACCCUUUAUGAACUGAAUUGCUUCAGGGUUUAUGUUGGCAUCUCUGCCUUUGAUUUUGUGACGACCGCAAGGGAUCCCAAAGACUUUGCACUCAUCCUCAACCCAGAACUUGAGGACCUUGCUGUCUGUUAGCACUAUCUCUCUUGGACUGACACUUACUCUGCUCAUUAUCCAAGAGAAGGUAAUAACACCGAAGCUGAUAAUGCAUGUAUUACAUGUAAAAUAGGAGUGGAAGAGGUGAUGUCCAGCUACAUGAAGAAUUGUACUAUUCAGUUAGAAUUCGAGGAAUAAAAUAAGAGAUACAGUGAGUUCCUGUUCAAUCCAUUUUUGUUGCCUUGCCUAUCAUGCCUUCAUUGAACCGAAAAAAUGGACUACAACAAGAAUAGACAACCUUCUAUUUAGGCAUUUCUGCAAAAUAGCAGACACACGAUCAUCACAAACACCAUGAAAACCACUUGAUCUUGGACUUCUGAAGAUGCGUUUGGCCUGCGCAGCUCAACUUUGCCAUAGGCCAAGUGGCCUCCGCCGGCGACAAAGCUCAUGCAUAGCCUGGUCUUGAAGUUGCUGCCAAAACACAUUGGCUUCCCGAGCUCCCCCUCACUGCCUAGGUUCAAUUGUUCAUCUUUUUUCGCAAAUAGCCUGAUCGUGUCCAUGGUGGGGAAGUGAUGGAGGAAACGACAGUCAUCGCCGAAGCCGUAGUCGCUGGUGCUGCGCAUUAACAAAAAAAUAGAUCCAGAGAAAAUUAUCCAACUGUUGCAAAGUUAGUGCAGGUAGCAAAGUUUUGUUGUAGAUAGAAAAGGUUGUUUUCACAACAGGCCAACCUUGCAGAAAAAGAUUUGCAUUCCGAAUGGAACAACUUGAUAUGUAUGACUGUAGAAAAUUAACCUGAAAAACCUGGUGCAUAUCUUCUUCGAUUUGUUAAAUGCCGACAAAGUAACUGGUUACAUACUCUCACUACUUUCAAAUGCAGAAAAUGUUUCGAGACACCAAUGCAUGAUUCUGGUUGUUCCCAUCGACUGUUGGUGUGGAAGCUUAUGCACCUUUCAAAUAUCAAUGUCUUAUGUAUCACUAGUGAAGCAAAAUAAUAAAGAAAUAUUUGGGUUAACAAACUGAAAUGAAAAAUAAUACUAGUAAUAUAUAAUACAUUUGCUACUUCAGUCUAUGUACAACCAAAAUUUGUAUCGAACUGAUCAACAAAGACAUAAUUAAGGGAGAGUUCUCUUAUAUAACAAAUUGUGUAAUAGCAUAACAAUAAGAAAUUUCAUUACACAGAAUUAAUUUCAAUGACAGCCAGUAACAAGCAUACUUAACAUAGUUACUAUCAUUACAUAUGAUGCUGCCAAUAAAGUUCUAUUUUAGGUGAAACAGGCUUGAGGUACAGGGAGCCACCCUGACAUGGUUGACGCCUUCUGGCCGUUCGCACGGCAACUCAGUAAACAGCUCUGAACACAUUAAUUACCGAGCCAAAGUACCUGGC